UGUCGGAGAGGUGUGAAUUAGUCGGCCUGUUUUUGGCUCUGUGAUGUUAAUUCCUGUGGUUCCUGUUCUUCUUUUCUUUUUUCCAGCCAGGAGGAGCGCUGGACUGCUGAGGCUCUGCAGGAUGUGGAGGAGACUGCUGGGCCUCACUAGCCAGUAACCUGCAAAGAGAGCAGACCACCAGUCCUGCUGCUUCACCUGUGAGGAGGAAGAGGAGAACAAAGGAGAGUUUUGUUCCCCUCCUCAGACCAGGCUGGUCCAAGUUUCACAUGCUGAUGCUUUCUGCACAUCAGGACUUACAAAUGUGUAGCAAAAAUCCACGUCCCACUCCCAGGCAGGAGAAGGACCAGGUGAGGAAGGGGAGGAAAAGCAGACGUGAGGGAGAGAGAAAC